rnacentral:lncRNA from 1 species
GGAGUGUUUCUAGAGCUCGGAGGCUGCUGGUAGGGGGGCACCACUUUCAGAUAAAAACAUAGACCUGAAUGGCAUCAUCCAGUAUCCAAGGAAACCAUGUUCUCUAAACAUGAAUAUGCCUUUGGGGGAAGACAGAAGAACAUGGAAGCCAUGUGAAAAAAACGGAUCCUAAGGCAGUUUUGAACAUCUGGAGGCCUGAUUUAUUGGAGAUUGCAAAUGUACAGUGUAACAUAGCUGUGGAGAGAGACUCCAUGAAGGAAAAAGUAUAGUAUUGAUGAGGAAUACCUUGUUAUAUUUCAAUAAGGAUACAUGGAUUCUAUAUCAUAUAAGGUUUCGUCUCUGAAGCAACUGAACGACUCAGAGAAUGGAAGUAGGAUUCACAGAUGGGGUCCGGGGCUUUAAGAAGAGAACAGUCCUUGCACUCCUGGUGGGUGUGACUCAGAGAAGAGUACCACCCUCCACGUUUGCCCCUCUCUCCUCUCAAAAGCCCUAUAGGAAGAUAUUUGAGAGUAUGUGCAUGCAGAAUGCCCCUCCUUUUGAGCCAUUAGCUUUCCAAGAAUUUUUCAGUCCCAUGACCACUUUCUACUUCUCUCACUCUUUCACCUUUUUCUGUUAGUUAUGAGUGUUUUUACUCUCCCAAUACGUUUUACUCUUCUUCCUCCCUCUUUCUUUUCUGCCAUGAGCCACCUCCAUUUUCUUAAUUGAAUAAAAUUGGAACCUGUCAUAUAUUUAGCAUACUCAUUAAAUAAAUGUUACUACCUAAGAA